ACAGUGAGUGUCUCACAAGAGGGUUCGGUCAGAAAUAUUUGAGGUGAGGCACCUCGGCACGCCGGGAGGAGGAGCCACAGCGCGAAUGGUGUGCUGAGCGCGUCUCCAUCACAGGGCCGUUGUUUCUGAACCAAACGAUUCAGAGAGGAUGACGUAUCAUUACUGACAAACGUGAUCAGGUCAUGUCAGUGGCAGUUGUGAAGCCACGGAGGGUUUUAUUUUUCCUGUUUUGCCUUUAGUUUGGAAAUUCUGGUUGUUUUAAAAUCAGUCACUGUAGUGAACAGUGUAGCGAUUUAAGGGUUUACCUUCAGUCAGCUUUGAGCACGAAUCAGAAACGCUGCAUUUACAGUAAAGUGAUGCCAACGUGUGGGCAAAGCUACGGCAGGUGGGCUGAGAGAAGGGACGCGCUGUUUGAAAAGUUGCAUCUUUGUUCAAACUUUAUAUGACUUUGCAUCUACAGACGGGACGUCCUUUGGGAUUACUUCCAAAAUCACACUUCUGCUAUUCUGAAUGAAUCUGAACUAAUGAAACAGCUUUGCAGUUCAAGCAUUUGUUACUCCCUGUUUUCUUCUCUUUUCUUGUUUGUUGCCUGAACUUGUCUCAUAUCUCUUCAUUAGUUGGAAAACAUUUAAUUUGGAAAUAAAUUCAACAACAAAGCCAUUAGACGAACGAGUCGGUGAAAAGGAAAUCCUUGCUUCUCUGCUCUGAUGGCCAUGUAUGAGCUGCCAGAGGUUGUAUUUAUUAACCAUGAAGUACACUGGUCCCUCGCUAUAACGCGGUUCGCCUUUUGCGGCCUCGCUGUUUACCAGAUUUUUUUUGUGCAACUUUGCUUUUUAUUUUUUAUUUUGUUUUGUUUUUCUUACAGCGCAUUGUGUUCUGCAUCCUGAUUGGCUGCAGACCACUGUCAAUCUCCUCCAUGCUGUGUCUCCUGUACAGUACAGCACGCGUUCAGCUUGUCAAAUUUACAUAAAUCUUCGAUCACUAGCAGUGUGACUCUGAAUUGCUGUGCUGUAUGUUUGUAAGUUUUCUCCCCAGCAAACACAACAAUGUCGAUGAAACAUUUUGCACCGUCAGAGGCUCCUGUGGUAGCACCCAAAGGCAGAGGAAGAUGCUAACUGUCGCACAGAAAGUUGGACUUCUGCUUAAUGCUAAAGGAAGUUAGAAGUUACCGUAUUUUUCGGACUAUAAGGCACAUUAAGCGAAACAAAACAGUCAAACUUUACUCAACUCAUUCUUCUUGCUUCCUCUACUUCCGUACCAUUGAUCCAUUGAUGUUGAAUUCUCUGACAGCUGCUCUACUCCCGUGUUCUGGACCUGAAAACAGGGUUUGAUCUUCGGUUUCAUUCUAUAAUACUCAACUUAUUUUUCUACAAAGGUCUGAACUUUGUGUUUAAACAAGAGAGAAAUGUGUGAAAGUGUGUAGUGAGGGGUUUUACAGCCUUAAAACAUCUAUAAUCAUUGUAAAACAUAAAGCUGCUACUUCACCUAUUGCGGGUUAUUUUUAGAACGUAACUCCUGC
ensembl:lncRNA